AAAUUGAAGAGUUUGAUCAUGGCUCAGAUUGAACGCUGGCGGCAGGCCUAACACAUGCAAGUCGAACGGUAGCACAGAGAGCUU
rnacentral:rRNA from 4 species